rnacentral:rRNA from 1 species
UAGGGAAUCUUCUACAAUGGACGAAAGUCUGAUGGAGCAACGCCGCGUGAGUGAAGAAGGGUUUCGGCUCGUAAACUCUGUUGUUAAAGAAGAACAUAUCUGAGAGUAACUGUUCAGGUAUUGACGGUAUUUAACCAGAAAGCCACGGCUAACUACGUACCAG